rnacentral:tRNA from 1 species
AGGGCGGUAGCUCAAUUGGCAGAGUAGCGGUCUCCAAAACCGUCGGUUGGGGGUUCGAGUCCCUCCCGCCCUGCCA